CCGAGCUCAGUGCUCAGGUCCCCUCGGCCUGUCCACAUCAUGCUGUCACCUGCAGUGUGCCUGGCGUGCUUCCUGCCUGUCCUCUCUCCCUUCUCUCUCCACUCACGGGUGUUAAACCCACAUGUGCCUGAGGCUCUCCUCUCACUCAUUCUCUCCUCCUUGUUAGGCAUUGAAGUUCCUAACAUCCAGAACUCAGACGGUGACACUGGAAGGAGGGUCAUUGCAGACAUGAUUGGUUAAGAUGAGAUGAGGUCGUACUGGAGCAGGGUGGGUCCCUAACCCAAAAUCACUGGCUUCAUAAAAAGGGGACACAGACACGCACACAGGGAGACGCCAUGUGAAGAUGAAGGCAGAGAUGGGGGAUAUCCACAGCCAAGGAAAGCCAAGGAUUGCCAGCAAAACAGCAGAAGCUAGAAGAGAGCCAUCCAACAAAUUCUUCCUCAUGGCUUCAUAGGGAACCAACCUGGCAACAGCUUGAUUUCAGACUUCCAGCCCCGGAACUCUGAGAUGAUAUGUCUCUGUUGUUCAAGCCCCCACUUGUGGCAUUUUGUCACAGCAGCCCUCGCAGACGGACACACUCUUCGUCUCUCACAGAUACGCCCUCCAGGCAAGCUCUGUGUUUCUGAUCCCUCUUUGCGUCUGCUUCUCUGAGGACCUUCAGGGACACAGUGACCUAAAGCCGCUCUGGGACUUUCUAUAUUAGAGACAGCAGAUAGUCAUGGAAUUGCCUGACGAACAUCCCCACAGAAGAGCUUCAGAGGACAGUGGAAAUAAACUGAAGAUAAUUUCUGAUGACAUCUCAUGAGUCCUGUUGAUCUAGUUAUCGAUAGAGAACUUUGUUGGCGGCAGGAAUAUUGUUUUUCUGCUUGAGACCACUAAGCAGAAGAAAAACUAUGUUGAGGAUUCACAUAAUAGACAUAACUGGAGUUGAGUUUUUACCCUGUAAAUAAUAUUGUACUAUAUUCAAUCCAACUGUCUGUAUUAGGGUUCUCCAGAGAAAUAGAAACAAUAGGAGAUAUAUAUAUGUAUAUAAAGAGAUUUAUUGUAAGGAAUUGGCUCACACAAUUGGCCUGGGAAGUCCAUAGCCUGCAGGGAGGACCAGCGGGUUGAAGACCCAGGAGAGGCAGUGUUCCAGCUCAAGUCUGAAGGCUGUCUGCUGGAGAAUUCUCUCUUGCUCAGGGAAGACAGUCUUUUUGCACUAUUUAGGCCUUCAGCUGAUUGGAUGAGGCCCACCACAUUCAGGAGAGCAAUCUGCUUUACUGAGAGUCCACCUGUUUAUGUAUUAAUCUCAUCCGAAAACAUCCUCACAGAAACACCCAGAAUGAUGUUUGACCACACAUCUGGGCCCCAUGGCCCAGUCCAGUUCACACAUAAUGUUAUCCAUCACAUUGCUUUCCAAAGAAUCAGAGAGAAUUGAGCUUCCAUUGAACAGGAAUAGCAAACAGCACACAAAACUACGUUCUACGAUACUGUCAAUUCAGAGACAGAAAGUCUAAGGUUAAGGAGGGGAAAGAGAAAGGGAAGGG
rnacentral:lncRNA from 1 species